rnacentral:lncRNA from 1 species
CUGGGUUUGAUUCUCAGCACCACAUAUAAAUAAAUAAAAUAAAGCUCUAUCAACAACUAAAACAAUAUUUUAAAAAAUACAGCAUUCUUUCAGAAAAAGGAUGCUAGAAUCAGAUUGCUAAAUUACAUGUAAAAUUGGUGAAGGUGGUAUGGAGCAAUUGGGGCUAUAUUCUCUAGUGAUCAGAAAUCAUUUGCAUCCCCAACUGGACAAAAAUAAUCUAUAUUCUGACAGUUUUCUCCAUAUUAAUAUCUACCUUUACAGAGCUGAGUCAAUAGGCAAACCUAGUCACUUCCUCAGCCAGGUGGUCCUUACACGGGCUUUUACACAAUGUCAGAGCACACAAAAAUACCAAGAAUAUCUUUCUUUCGUCUUCGUUCCAAAUUCUUGAUGAUUUUUCAUAAUGAUAAUCAGGAUAGGAUUUGCUAAGUGUUCAGGACACUCUUCUACCAACCUUGAUAUGGCCUCGGACUCUUUCUCGGCAUUGUGUUCCACAUACCCACUGACAGUCUAUGAGAACUGGUGCCAGGGAGGAAAUUGAUUUGCCACCCAUUCCUAAGAGACCACAGUGGAUGGGCUUUGACCUUCAGACAGCUUCUCCAUGACUGGCUGGUGCUUACAGUGGCUUAGUUAAAGAUGCUGCUUAGACAUGAGGAAAGACCUGAAGAAACAUUAGCUUUCAUGGAGAGAAGGCAGGGGGUCUAGGGAAGCCAUGUCUUUUCUAUCAAAGAUGGGUGUUCACCUGCUCUUCCCAAGUCAGGAUUUCAAAGACAAGAGAUGUGGCUUCAGAACACUGCAUCUCAUGCUGAUAGGUUGUUCUCAUUAUAGAGUUCUGUGCUAAAUGGGUGAUAAACCAGGAAGGGAGCAGGGCAUUUUGAUCCUAGUGAUAUUGGGUGUUGCUAGUGACCUUAUAGAGGUGUAUGAUCCAUGAAGCAAAUGGGUCUGUGGUAAUCAGAGAACAGGAACACUGGCUCAAGAGGAGAGGAAAUCAUCAUUCAUUCCUGGGUAUCCACUUGACACGGACUAUGGGCCUAGCUUCACCGAAGUCCAUUGGCCGCUGUCAGGAAGUCUCUUUUCCAGAAGGAACAGGAGACCUGGAAUUACAUGUAAUCAAUUUCCUAAGUGGGAGAAUUUCCUCAUUUAAGAAAUUCUAAAUUGUCAAGGCCUGUGUGCCCAUUCCCAUAAAACCCUGUCCAUCUGCAGGAAGAGAGAAAAGUCAAGCAGUAUGCAAAUGCCCUUCUAGAAACAUUCUUCCUUAGAGCUACGGAGUGUUUAAAUUGUCAAAAUCCCCUGUUCGAAAAUUACACUCGACAUUUAUAUUUCUUUGAAAAAUUGGAGAAGAGAUAGUUCAUUAGUGUUUCAAAUAAGGUACAAGAACAAUAAUUCAGGGUCAUCAUUCUUGUCCUCAAUGGAAUGACAAAAGGGAACAAUGCAGUUUUCUUCUCAUGAUGGAAUCGAGAACACCGUAAGCCAUCUCUAUCUCCUGGAGGCCUGGGACUUCUGCAUCUCAUAGGUGAGAGAGCGAUCCCCACCUUGUUGAGAGAUGGGGGACAGCCCACUUAGAUAGCCUGUGAUGAAGCAGCUGCAGGGGAGGGGGCAGCAGCUGCAGAACAAAGGAGACGCCCCCCCUCCCAGAAGUCACUGAGUGGUAGGAAGACAGUGGGCCCCAGUAUCUGAGGCUCCACAUCCAGGGAUUCAACCAACGCAGACGGAAAAUACCCGAGAAGAGACUGCUUCUGUACUGGACAUGUACGGACUUUUUCCUUGCCGUUAUUUCUAUACAGUAUGCUAUGACUGUUCAUAAAGCGUACACUGCAUUAGGUAUUUCAAGCCAUCGAGAGAUGAUUUAAAGCAUAUGAGAGACCUUGUGCAGGGAAUAUGUAAAUACCACCCCGUUUUAUAUAAGACUUGAGUGUCUCUGGAUUUUGGUAGCCAUGGGGGUUCCUGGAACAAAUCCCUCACUGAUGCUGAGGGACAACUGUACUAUCCUCAGACCCCACAGGGCUAAUGUGAAAACCAAAGAGUGCCAAUCAGAGAAACAGUCCAAGAUCAAAGGUGAGAUGAUUUUUAAAAGAAUUCACCAUGAAAACACUAGUCAAAAGAAAGUUGGUGCUAUGGUUUAGGUCUUAAAUAUCUCCUAGUCAUCUAGGUGUUAAAGGCAUGGUUCCCAGUGUGACACCAUCAGGAGAUGGUGGAACCCUUAGACAUGGGGCCUUGACAGAAGCCUUUAGAUUACUGGGGGCAUGCCCCCUCAAAGGGGCCUUUCUUUCUUACUUCCUGGUCAAGAGGUCAUUGGUUUUGCCCUGCCAUCCAUUUCUGCCAAGAUGUGCUCUCUUGUCACAGGUUCAAAGCAAC